rnacentral:rRNA from 1 species
ACGCACGCUGGCGGCGUGCCUAAUACCUGCACGUCGCGCGAAGUUUUUCUGGUGCUUGCACCGGAAAAACUUAGCGGCGAACGGGUGAGUAACACGUAAAGAACCUGCCUCAUAGACUGGGACAACUAUUGGAAACGAUAGCUAAUACCGGAUAAUAGCAUUAACUGCAUGGUUGAUGUUUAAAAGUUGGUUUUGCUAACACUAUGAGAUGGCUUUGCGGUGCAUUAGCUAGUUGGUGGGGUAAAGGCCUACCAAGGCGACGAUGCAUAGCCGACCUGAGAGGGUGAUCGGCCACACUGGGACUGAGACACGGCCCAGACUCCUACGGGAGGCAGCAGUAGGGAAUCUUCCGCAAUGGGCGAAAGCCUGACGGAGCAACGCCGCGUGAGUGAAGAAGGAUUUCGGUUCGUAAAGCUCUGUUGUUAGGGAAGAAUGAUUGUGUAGUAACUAUACACAGUAGAGACGGUACCUAACCAGAAAGCCACGGCUAACUACGUG